rnacentral:rRNA from 1 species
GAUGAACGCUGGCGGCGUGCCUAAUACAUGCAAGUCGAGCGAACAGACGAGGAGCUUGCUCCUCUGACGUUAGCGGCGGACGGGUGAGUAACACGUGGAUAACCUACCUAUAAGACUGGGAUAACUUCGGGAAACCGGAGCUAAUACCGGAUAAUAUAUUGAACCGCAUGGUUCAAUAGUGAAAGACGGUUUUGCUGUCACUUAUAGAUGGAUCCGCGCCGCAUUAGCUAGUUGGUAAGGUAACGGCUUACCAAGGCAACGAUGCGUAGCCGACCUGAGAGGGUGAUCGCCCACCCUGGAACGGAGACACGGUCCAGACUCCUACGGGAGGCAGCAGUAGGGAAUCUUCCGCAAUGGGCGAAAGCCUGACGGAGCAACGCCGCGUGAGUGAUGAAGGUCUUCGGAUCGUAAAACUCUGUUAUUAGGGAAGAACAAAUGUGUAAGUAACUAUGCACGUCUUGACGGUACCUAAUCAGAAAGCCACGGCUAACUACGUG